GAUUUUACAACUUUUUGCAAAUGGCAAAAGAUAUGAGUUUCCUCAAUUUGCAUAGAAAAAUGCCUCCUUGAGGAAUUGGUUUUAUUGCUUUUAUGGUACUAAUUGAACCUUCUGGCAGUGUUAACUGGAGUAGUCUUGUUUCUCUUUCAUUGGCUGCCUGAAAUUGACAGAUGGUGUCAUGCAAAAGGUAUUAUCUGGUUGUCCUAACUUGGAGUGCUUGAAAUUAGAGGGGGUUUCGGGCAUACAUCUUUUGGAGAUCAGCUCUGUGAAGUUGAGAGAAUUGACCAUAGAAUACUACUAUGAUGACAUUUUGCUCGAAAUAUUAGUCCAGUAUAUACAAACAUUGGAACUUUUGGGGUUCUGCAAUGAGAUACACAUUGGGCAGUUCUGUGAACCAAUUCCUUAAAGAGGCAUUUUUAGAGGAAACUCAUAUCUUUUGCCAUUUGGACAAAGUUCAAGUGUAAAAUCUUCAACUUUAGUAGCAAAAUGUAGCUAUAAAUCAACAUCUUUAGCAUAACUCUCCUCGUAACUAAGGAACCACAACCUAAAUUUCGGGGAUUUUCUCGACCUCCAAUAAUAAAGUUCCUUGUGGACAAAGCUAGGCAAGAGUGGACUCUUUGGUAUCAUUAAUGGGAGACAUCCAAAGAGACCUCCAUCACCUAAAUAAUAAGUUUGUUCACACAACUUGUUUUCCGUCCUACAACAUAGAGAGGAUUUGAAGUAGGAUUGAUUCGGACAAUCACUGAGUCGGUCUCCUCUAACCAUGAUUUCCAUGGAGUGAAACUGCUAGUGUUGUCUGUUAACAAUUUUUGUCUUCGAAAAAGGUUUUGUGGAAUAGGGAGUUGGUCUGUAAUUUGAAUUAAUUCCGCUUAAGCAAAUACAUCUCUUUAUCAGGCCACAAUGUAGCAACUCAAACCCUAGCUCAGUCGAUCGUAUGACUAUAUCACCAUGACAUCUUCUUCUUUUACCAGUGUUUCACAAGUUCCUUGAUGGAAAUACGAUGUUAUAUCGUUGUUCUGUGAUGUGGAUCCAUCCGAAACCCACCGGAUAUCUUUACUGAAGCCUUUGCCAAACAUGAAUCCAAGUAUUAAAAUGACGUUGAAGGAAUACAUAAGGUGCAAAGAUGGAGGACAGCCCUUACUCAAGUGGUCAAUCUAAAAGGCUGUGAUAUCCUCAAUGGGUGUCAUGUAUGCCGUUCAGACUGUGAAUUCCAACAACUUGUUCGUGCAUUGUCCAGUAGAUUAGCUAGAGACAUCUGGAAUAUGUUCUUACCCCUUUCUGGUCUGAUGUGGGUUAUGCCUUGUAGCUUGAAGGAAGCUUUCAUUAGCUGUUGGAAAGUGCAGAAAAUCCAACAAUCUAAGACCAGAUUCAAUAGCAGAUCCUGCUUGCAUUUAUUUUGCCCUUUCUAACAUCCGAGUAUUGUAUCUUAACAAUAACUUCAAUUAGAUAGCUAUCACUAUCUAUCCAAAGCGGUUUUAUUUUACCCUAUGGAGUGGUUGGUCCAAACGCACAUGUAGGUAUACGUGGUCUGACAAGUAAUAAAGAGUAUAUCAUUCCCACAAGGACUUGUCUCUUUCACUUUCGUUCAGAUUAAACAGUUACAAAGUACCAAUCCAAGAAUAUUUAUUUUUCUCCUCCA